rnacentral:lncRNA from 1 species
GUGACUGGGCCUCCCUUCACCUUAGCGAGUACCCAGAGUGAUGGCGAUGGUGAUGGCGGCAGUUACUCGGACAGCCCCAGUUAAGCUGCGCUCUGAGAGAUGCUGAAGCCUCCUCCAUCUCAGAUUUUCGAGAUACAUCCAGAGAGUGCCCAGAAGAAACUCCCUCCUGGAAAAACUAAAAAAGCAGUAUUUAUAACACUGGAA